AUUGAACGCUGGCGGCAGGCCUAACACAUGCAAGUCGAACGAGUGGCGGACGGGUGAGUAAUGUCUGGGAAACUGCAUGAUGGAGGGGGAUAACUAAUGGAAACGGUAGCUAAUACCGCCUACCUUAGGAUGUGCCCAGGUGGGAUUAGCUAGUGGGUGGGGUAUAGGCUGACAUAGGCGACGAUCCCUAGCUGGUCUGAGAGGAUGACCAGCCACACUGGAACUGAGACACGGUCCAGACUCCUACGGGAGGCAGCAGUGGGGAAUAUUGCACAAUGGGCGAAAGCCUGAUGCAGCCAUGCCGCGUGUAUGAAGAAGGCCUUCGGGUUGUAAAGUACUUUAAGCUGGGAGGCGUUACCCGCAGAAGAAGCACCGGCUAACUCCGUGCCAGCAGCCGCGGUAAUUC
rnacentral:rRNA from 1 species